ensembl:snRNA U6 U6 spliceosomal RNA
AUGCUCCCUUUGGCAGCACAUAUACUGAAAUUGGAAUGAUACAGAGAUUAACAUGGCCCCUGCGCAAGGAUGCCAUGCAAAUUCAUGAAGCAUUCCAUAUUCAU